AUUGAACGCUGGCGGCAUGCCUUACACAUGCAAGUCGAACGGUAACAGGUCUUCGGAUGCUGACGAGUGGCGAACGGGUGAGUAAUACAUCGGAACGUGCCUAGUAGUGGGGGAUAACUACUCGAAAGAGUGGCUAAUACCGCAUGAGAUCUACGGAUGAAAGCAGGGGAUCGCAAGACCUUGUGCUACUAGACCGGCCGAUGGCAGAUUAGGUAGUUGGUGGGAUAAAAGCUUACCAAGCCGACGAUCUGUAGCUGGUCUGAGAGGACGAUCAGCCACACUGGGACUGAGACACGGCCCAGACUCCUACGGGAGGCAGCAGUGGGGAAUUUUGGACAAUGGGCGCAAGCCUGGUCCAGCAAUGCCGCGUGCAGGAUGAAGGCCUUCGGGUUGUAAACUGCUUUUGUACGGAACGAAAAGCCCUGGGUUAAUACCCUGGGGUCAUGACGGUACCGUAAGAAUAAGCACCGGCUAACUACGUGCCAGCAGCCGCCGUAACAC
rnacentral:rRNA from 1 species